rnacentral:rRNA from 1 species
GACUUUAUGAAAUUAUGUAAAGCCUAAUCUGCCCAGUGGGAAACUAAACGGCCGCAGUAUUUUGACUGUGCUAAGGUAGCAUAAUAAUUUGUCCUAUAAUUGAGGACUGGAAUGAAUGAUUGCACGGGAUUAAGCUGUCUUAUAUAAUUUUUAUUGAAUUUAUUUUUAAAGUGAAGACUCUUUAAUUUAAUUGAAUGACAAGAAGACCCUAUUGAGCUUAAUUGGAUUUUCUAACAAAAUACAAUUUGAUUGGGGCAAUCCAAGAACAAGAAAAGUUUCUUGCCGAUCCAGAAAGUCUGAUAAUAGAAAAGCUACCCUAGGGAUAACAGCAUAAUAUUUUUUAAGAGCUCUUAUCGAGAAAGAAGGUGUGACCUCGAUGUUGGAUUAGGGUUACUUAUAGGCGCAGCAG